rnacentral:rRNA from 1 species
UACGUAGGGUGCAGGCGUUAAUCGGAAUUACUGGGCGUAAAGCGUGCGUAGGCGGUUUGUUAAGACAGGUGUGAAAUCCCCGGGCUUAACCUGGGAACUGCGCUUGUUACUGGCAGACUGGAGUGUGGCAGAGGGGGGGUGGAAUUCCGGGUGUAGCGGUGGAAUGCGUAGAGAUCCGGAAGAACACCGGUGGCGAAGGCGGUUAGCUGGGCAGUAGCUGACACUGAGGCGCGACAGCGUGGGGAGCAAACAGG